rnacentral:rRNA from 1 species
AUCCGUAGGGUGCGAGCGUUGUCCGGAAUUACUGGGCGUAAAGAGCUCGUAGGUGGUUUGUCGCGUCGUCUGUGAAAUUCCGGGGCUUAACUCCGGGAGUGCAGGCGAUACGGGCAUAACUUGAGUACUGUAGGGGAGACUGGAAUUCCUGGUGUAGCGGUGAAAUGCGCAGAUAUCAGGAGGAACACCGGUGGCGAAGGCGGGUCUCUGGGCAGUAACUGACGCUGAGGAGCGAAAGCAUGGGUAGCGAACAGGAUUAGAUACCUGGUAGUCCAUGCCGUAAACGGUGGGCGCUAGGUGUAGGGGUCUUCCACGACUUCUGUGCCGUAGCUAACGCAUUAAGCGCCCCGCCUGGGGAGUACGGCCGCAAGGCUAAAACUCAAAGGAAUUGACGGGG